rnacentral:tRNA from 1 species
GGGGAUGGGGCUCAGUGGUAGAGUGCUUGCCUACAAUGCAAGAGUCCCUGGAUUCGAGCCCCAGCACUGCCA